rnacentral:lncRNA from 1 species
GGCGGUUCCCCUAUUUUGAUAUCUAUGACCUAUUCGGUCGAGUUGCUACAGUUCUAUCUUGACAUACGUAGCCGAUUAGUUGCUGAUGGCCUAUACGGUCGGUGUGCCCUGAGGGGCUGGAUUGUCGGCUAGUUGCCGAUGGAUGAUCUUUGAGCAUACUACAUUGAUCGCCACUGCAGGUACGCAUUUCACGAACACCAGCGGUCUGAUCCACCGCAAGAGGGUGUUCUUUUCCGGAAAAGUGGUUGGAUUGCCAACCCGUGAGCCCAGGGGCUUUAUUGCGAGGGUAUAUGCUUCUGACCCAGGGGCUUCAUUGCGAGGGUCAGGUACUAUGCUUCUGACCCAGGGGCUUCAUUGCGAGGGUCAGGUACAGGUUGAGCAGUGUGGCAUGGGCCUGAGGUCUUCGGACCAAUAGGGCAGCGAGAUUGGGUACUUUUGAGGUUAUCGUCAGUUGACGCAUGCAUACAGUAGCUGUAGUGUUUAUUUCCAGUACAUCCUUAUCUGUUUAUUGUAGCUACUGUUUUAUUUACCUGCAUCUAUACUUGUCAGCUCCUUACAUAUCUCUUUCGUUUAUUAUUGUUGCUACUAUAUUUCCACUGACCCGUGUUGUUGUAUAGCUCUUCCUGAUCCGGUGAGUACUCCUCGCCUUCUUCGGCUUGCGGUACCCACUGGGAGGGGAGACAUGUUUACAUGUUCUCACCUCCCCCACUAUUUUUCAGGUAUUGCGGGCGAUGAGUAGUGGGACGAGACGUGAGGCACGCGUGUAGCGGUCGAUAGAGCUUCCGACCCAGGUUAUUUCGGUAUAGUUAUUACCCCUAUUAUUUCUGUUAUUGCAUAGUUUAGUUGGUUUAUGUGGUUCAGUAUUUCAUUACAUUAAAAUAAAAGGAUUUCUGGAUUUUGUAAAAUAAAAGGUUUUCUACCCCUCGUGGUAGCGUUUUUAAAAGAUAAAAGUUUCCGUGUAGGGAACAGUUUUUAAAAGAUUUUCUGUGAUUUUUGUAUCUUAGUAUUUCAAAACCUGUUUCUGUGGUUGGAAACAUUUUAACUAAUAGAUGUGAAUCUGUGGUGAAUGGUGUAUGAAUAUAUAUAACGGUUGGUUAUUUGUAUGUUCACCUGGUUGUGGUUGUAUCAUGUUUGAACUCUUGUACUUGUGCGACGCCGUGCAAAUACAGGGGAGACUCUGUCCGUGUGAACAGUGGAUUCCCUGUAUUUGUGGCGGAUCUGGCAUACUCUGGGGUCAGGUUUUCAAAAAAAAAUUCAGACGCUUUUCCGCUUUGUUCUAAACUGAAAAGGGA